ACAAAAAGUCUUGUCAUUCAUACAUACUAAAUUGCUGGUAGGAGAUCAUAGACUCAAUUGUAAGCUCACUGAUAAUCAGGCAGAAAGGGAAUAUGUUAGGCCAUCCCUGAUGUUUUAACUGUAUGCAUAAAAAAUAGCUCCUUGAGGGAAACAUGAGUUUUUUCCUAGGGAUCCUCAUAAAAGCUUGAGGCUUACCUAAGAAUGUUCCUAUAAUACUCAAGUCAAAAACUACAGUAACAGAAUCAUAAGCUGACUGUAUUUUCUCUAGUCCAGUGAUGGCAGAUCUUUUCCCCCUCAAAGGUAUAAGUCAGGAACUUUUUCAUUUUAAUAAAAGUAAAAACUCAUAUAUUCAGAAUUUUCUCAAUAGAAACACCACUUACCUAGCACUUCUUUAAUUCAUCACACUAUAAGAAUAGUUGAAUCAGAAAUAAAAGAGAUUUUACAGAUCAUUUAGCACAGUCCUUUAUUUCACAGAUGAGGAAACUGAAGCAGAGAAAAGUGAAGUGAUUGCCCACAUCCAACUACAAGAUGAGGAUGAGGAUCCAAGAACUCAGACCAUUUGCUGACAUGCAUACAGACUUUAAAAGUCCCCUGAAGUUCUCAACAAGACCACUCUAAGUUGUUCACUUCUCUUCUGAAC